ACCUCCUUGCUUUUCCUUGCAAAAUUUGAUUAUAAAUAGAAUUUCCAACCUUGUUUCUUCACAUAUCACACGCCAUUUCCAAUCAAAGAAUGACGGAAAUUUCAUCUAUAUUCAUCAAUCAAAAAACUUUUAAACUUGUUCCUUGUUAUUAGCUCAUCUCAAUCCUCUGUUAAUCUUUAUUUCUUAGUGUGUUAGGAAGCGAAGUUGAGGACGAACUUCACACACAAGAGGAGCACAUGUAGUACUUUGUAGUUAUGCACUUCACCCGACGACGAUCCAGGAAGAAGAGACUCAGAAAGGCAAAUAAUGUUCCAACUAUCUCUUCUCUCUUCAUUACUCGUCAUUGGUGUUAAGAGGAUGACAUGAUGACAUGAAGACUGUGACAUAAAGACGCGACGGAGAGAUGCAAGGGUAAAGUUAGUCGAAGUACAAGUAAUGGACUGUCUGAAAAUGGAAGGAGUUCCGCAAGGUAUUAAAUUAGCCGUGAGAUCCGUCGAUGAAGAGUAAAUUAUACAAAGGAGGAAAAGAGAUUGCAACGUUGGAGUAUAAUUAGGAAGAUCUCCUAUAAUCAAGCUACCGUUACCAUUGUAAUAGAUUGAGAAUUUACUAAUGUAUUCGUUGAAAAAAAAAAGCCGAAGGAAAAAAAGGCAUACAAAAGAGAAAGAAACAUCAUUAGAUAGGAGGAGGGAACACUUUUUGUAUUAAGAGAAAAAGAACAACAUAAUCUGUAACGAUUGUCACUAGCUUAUAGCGACAGUCAACGAUGGUAUAUUGGUGGAUCUACAUCCACCCGCGGUUUUACCCAUCUUCAUUGGGGUUUUUCGCGUCACCAUCUUUGUGUGUUCAUCCCCUUUGAGCCCCAUUGCAUCCAUUCUUUGCAUCGUCUUACGCAUAAUAUGGUUGAAUCGUCCCAAUAUUUAAUUC